AGUGAACGCUGGCGGUAGGCCUAACACAUGCAAGUCGAACGGCAGCCCAGGAAGAGCUUGCUCUUACGGGUGGCGCGUGGCGGACGGGUGAGGAAUACAUCGGAAUCUACUUUUUCGUGGUGGCUAACGUAGGGAAACUUACGAUAAUACCGCAUACGACCUACGAUUUAAAGCAGGGUCUCUUCGGACCUUUCGCGAGUGAAUGACCCGAUAUCGGAUUGGCUAGUUGGCGGGGUAAGUGCCCACCAAGGCAGCGAUCCGUAGCUGGUCUGCGAGCAUGCUCAGCCACACUGGAACUGAGACACGGUCCAGACUCCUAUGGGAGGCAGCAGAGGGGAAUAUUGGACGAUGCGCGCAAGCAUGAUCCAGCCAUGCCGCGUGGGUGAAGAAGGCCUUCGGGUUGUAAAACCCUUGUGUUGGGAAAGAAAAGCAGCAUUUUAAUACCCCGAUAUUCUGACGGUACCCAAAGAAUAAGCACCGGCUAACUUCGUG
rnacentral:rRNA from 1 species